rnacentral:rRNA from 1 species
CGGGUUGGGUUAAAGGAAGCUUCUAAUCAGAAUGUCUACAUUUUAAGAUUAGAUCUCAAAUCAGGUAGGACUACCCGCUGAACUUAAGCAUAUCAAUAAGCGGAGGAAAAGAAACUAACAAGGAUUCCCCUAGUAGCGGCGAGCGAAGCGGGAAGAGCUCAAAUUUAUAAUCUGGCACCUUCGGUGUCCGAGUUGUAAUCUCUAGAAAUGUUUUCCGCGUUGGACCGCACACAAGUCUGUUGGAAUACAGCGGCAUAGUGGUGAGACCCCCGUAUAUGGUGCGGACGCCCAGCGCUUUGUGAUACAUUUUCGAAGAGUCGAGUUGUUUGGGAAUGCAGCUCAAAUUGGGUGGUAAAUUCCAUCUAAAGCUAAAUAUUGGCGAGAGACCGAUAGCGAACAAGUACCGUGAGGGAAAGAUGAAAAGCACUUUGGAAAGAGAGUUAACAGUACGUGAAAUUGUUGGAAGGGAAACGCUUGAAGUCAGACUUGCUUGCCGAGCAAUCGGUUUGCAGGCCAGCAUCAGUUUUCCGGGAUGGAUAAUGGUAGAGAGAAGGUAGCAGUUUCGGCUGUGUUAUAGCUCUCUGCUGGAUACAUCUUGGGGGACUGAGGAACGCAGUGUGCCUUUGGCGGGGGUU